CUUUUGACUGUCGGUUGUAGUUCUCCAUCUUUCAUCAUUAGAUGGAUAGGAUCAUCUGAUCACCUAGAUAUAAGAGCAUGGUCCAUCAGAUAAUAGGACAACCAGAUGAGCAGCAUUGAAUACGAACAUGUCUGCCCAAAGUUAUUACUCUGGUUCCUUUGCAAGUGAUUCACUUGCAUGUAAAAAGUUAUUCAUCCAGUUGUAAAAAGUUGCUCAUCUGCCAUCCACCUUGCUUAUUUCAUUGUAGUGGCAUCUACUUUUGCAAAAUGUCACUUAGAUAUUGUAUUGGAUUCUCGUUGUAGGAGCUAUAGGAUACAAGUUCCAUUAGUGCAUUCUUUGACAUUACCUAAGUUGAAUCAUUCCAGUGAUUCAUGGUUUGUUCAUAUACUACAAUUUGAGCAUUGUAUCAUGGGUAUUUCAUUUAGGCCAUGUUUGGAUAAGUGGAAUCCAAGGCAAGAGAAGGGAAAAAUAAAUAAAUAAUUAUCCGAUGAUGAUUUCCAUGAGAACCAUUGAAACAUGGAUUCCUGCUUUGACUUCUUGUUUGUGUAGCAAGUGGAAAUCCCAUAUUCCUCUCACAAAAUUCAUCUAGUUUUUGUGCUAAGAAUCCAAAUAAUGGAAGUGUAAUGAUUUCUUGGUAGAAUCCCACCCUUUUCUUUGCUAUUUAAACAACAUGAAUAGUCACUUCAAAGGAAAAUCCGUUUCCACUGUUUGGCAUGGAAUCCAUGGUUUCCAAACAUAGCCUUACUCAUUCUCUUCAUGUUCAUCAUGAUGUUAUUGUACUUUGUAUUAUAACAAAAUAUAAUUUAACGAUCUGUCCUUAACUUUCAUGCUUCUAGAGUAACAACCUCUUUGCGUUGUUCUUAGAUGAAACAAUGACCUAUUCAUGCGCUAUAUAUAAGAGCGAGGAUGAAGAUUUAAAGGUCGCACAGCUACGGAAAAUCUCUCCUGAUUGAAAAGGCCAGAAUCAAUGCCAGGCAUGAAAUUCUUGAGAUUGGUUGUGGUUGGGGAAGCCUAGCUAUAGAGGUUGUCAAGAGAACAGGUUGUAAAUACACAGGCAUCACAUUGUCUAAGGAGCAACUGAAAUAUGCAGAAAGGACAGUGAAAGAAGCUGGCCUCCUGGACAAGAUAAAAUUCCUUCUAUGUGACUGUCACCAACUGCCAAGCUCUCAGAAAUAUGACAAGAUUAUAUC